ACGGGUGUAGCUCAACGGUAGAGCACCGGUCUCCAAAACCGAAGGUCGCAGGUUCAAAUCCUGCCGCCCGUG
rnacentral:tRNA from 1 species